rnacentral:rRNA from 1 species
AGGGAUAGCCUUCCGAAAGGAAGAUUAAUACCUCAUAAUACAAAGAAAACGCAUGUUUUCUUUGCCAAAGAAUUUCGUUGUGAGAUGGGCCCGCGGCGCAUUAGCUUGUUGGUGAGGUAACGGCUCACCAAGGCUUCGAUGCGUAGCCGACCUGAGAGGGUGAUCGGCCACAUUGGAACUGAGACACGGUCCAGACUCCUACGGGAGGCAGCAGUGGGGAAUAUUGCACAAUGGAGGAAACUCUGAUGCAGCAACGCCGCGUGAGUGAUGAAGGUCUUCGGAUUGUAAAGCUCUGUCUUCUGGGACGAUAAUGACGGUACCAGAGGAGGAAGCCACGGCUAACUACGUGCCAGCAGCCGCGGUAAUACGUAGGUGGCAAGCGUUGUCCGGAAUUAUUGGGCGUAAAGGGAGCGCAGGCGGGAAGGUAAGUCGGUCUUAAAAGUGCGGGGCUCAACCCCGUGAUGGGAUCGAAACUAUCUUUCUUGAGUGCAGGAGAGGAAAGUGGAAUUCCUAGUGUAGCGGUGAAAUGCGUAGAUAUUAGGAGGAACACCAGUGGCGAAGGCGACUUUCUGGACUGUAACUGACGCUGAGGCUCGAAAGCCAGGGGAGCGAACGGGAUUAGAUACCCCGGUAGUCCUGGCCGUAAACGAUGAAUACUAGGUGUGGGAGGUAUCGACCCCUUCCGUGCCGGAGUUAACGCAAUAAGUAUUCCGCCUGGGGAGUACGGUCGCAAGACUGAAACUCAAAGGAAUUGACGGGGGCCCGCACAAGCGGUGGAGUAUGUUGGUUUAAUUCGACGCAACGCGAAGAACCUUACCAGGGCUUGACAUUGAGUGAAAGGUGCAGAGAUGC